AUCAUCGCAUAUUCAACUGCGCUUUCUCUGUAAACCAGAGCUCAUCAUCAUCCUAUAACAGAAAUGGAUGAGUCAGGUGUGGCAGAUGACGCUACGCUUGGUCAAUUUGUGAAGUCUGUAAAAAAGAGAA